rnacentral:lncRNA from 1 species
AUGUUUUUGAUUCAACAGCUUCCACUGGAAAUCCUCAGGGAAGUUAUUUUGUCGGCGGGUGACUCUGCAUAUUUGACACUUUCUCUGGUUUGCAGAUGGUUUAGGGUUGUGCUCCGAAGUUUUUCGGAAAGAGGCACAGUUUGCCUGGCUAGAGAUUGUGGCCAACUGGAAGAAUUGUCCUCCUGUCUCCUGACCGGAACGAGUUCAGACGGAUGUACAGCAUCAGGGAACGCUUGCAGUGCAGAGCCCUUUUCAAGUUUAACCCACCAGGGUACAGGGAAGAGACCGGCGUGGUGAUCUUCUGGGCUUUUGUUUACACAGGAUUUUGUUCCAAGGACUUUUUUUUUUUUUUGCGGCAUGAAACACAUUUGUGUGUUAAGUUCAUUGAAGGGAAAUAACUGGUUUUGAUUAUUAAUUGAUGUAAUUUAAAGUUAAACUUUGCACUGUAUAAUGUUUUAAUAAAAAAGCUAUGGAAAACACGUGCAUGACAACAGGUUUCAGUCAUUUACAUCAGUCUAUCAUUCUUUAAGGUUUCUCAUAUUUGAUGAUAACAUGAUUUGCUAUGCAUUGCUCAUAAUGGAUUCUUAGUUUAGUUGUGACAGGAUUGUGAGGAUUAAUGAGGUUUUCAGUAGUGCAGUUCAGAAAACAAAUAACAGAAAGUAACAAGUGUUUUUGGGCAAGUUCUUUAGAACCUGUAUAGUUCCUUCCUUGCAAAAAGUAACCAUGGAUUUAUUGUAGUAAAAAUAUUUGUUGGCACAUUAAUUACUGUGAGCUGUAAUUAUAAAAACACCAUAGUUUUACUAUAGUUACUGUAGCAGAACCAUAGUAAAUUUUCGUAGGGGCCAAGGGAAUGUUCAGAAUAUUAUUGGUGACGUUCAGAGAGUGGUGACAAUUUGUUACACACACGACACACACACACACACACACACACACAUAUAUAUGUAUGUAUAUAUUAUUUGAAUAUAUAAAUCAAGGUACUCCAUGACUAUCUACAUAACCAUACUUCGCAUAAUAUUGCCGUGUCAUUUUCAAACCAGCGAGUAAUGCCGAGGUAGCGUCUACACUACAGCCAUUGAGGGAGUAGACCAUUUAUUUUUAUUCUGUUCGUCGUAAUCCAAAACUCUUUGUAUUUAUACGGGAUGUUACGGAAAUGCAACAAUAAAUGCAAAAACACAACAUGUAUAUUCACUUUUUAAUUUAUAUUAAAAGUUUAUUCAUCUUAGUGUCUACUUCCGCAUUCCAAUCCUGCUAAUAGCGUCAUAAUUCUCUAUACCAAUAAGCUGUAAAAUCGUCACUCAUCUGUACACCAAUAAGCUCAUCUUAAUCAUAAACCAAUAACCGCUGAGGUGGGCGGGGCGACACGUGUCGCUCCGCCCCAACGUGUCGCCCCGCCCCAUCGUCCAGACUGCACUCUGGGAUACUUGGUUUCAGGAACGCAGUUCUAGUAUCCUGUUGGUUUAGUUUGCAGUCACGUUACUUUGUAUAUAGCAUCAAUAUAUUAAUCUCAGUAGCAUGUUUUUAA